rnacentral:rRNA from 1 species
CCUACGGGUGGCAGCAGUGAGGAAUAUUUGUCAAUGGGCGCGAGCCUGAACCAGCCAAGUAGCGUGAAGGAUGACUGCCCUACGGGUUGUAAACUUCUUGUAUAAAGGAAUAAAGUGAGGCACGUGGGCCUUGUUGGAUGGACGUUAUGAAUAAGGAGCGGCUAACUCCGUGCCAGCAGCCGCGGUAAUACGGAGGAUCCGAGCGUUAUCCGGAUUUAUUGGGUUUAAAGGGAGCGUAGAGGGGUUGUUAAGGCAGUUGUGAAAGUUUGCGGCUCAACCGUAAAAUUGCAAUUGAUACUGGCAGUCUUGCGUACAGUUGCGGUCGGCGGACUUCGUGUUGUAGCUGUGACCUGCUUAGCUUUCACG